UACAGAGGGGGCAAGCGUUGUUCGGAAUUACUGGGCGUAAAGGGCGCGUAGGCGGCCUGUUAAGUCAGACGUGAAAUCCCUCGGCUCAACCGGGGAACUGCGUCUGAUACUGGCGGGCUUGAAUUCGGGAGAGGGAUGUGGAAUUCCUGGUGUAGCGGUGGAAUGCGCAGAUAUCAGGAGGAACACCUAUAGCGAAGGCAGCUUGCUGGGACGACACUGACGCUGAGACGCGAAAGCGUGGGGAGCGAACAGG
rnacentral:rRNA from 1 species